UACUGUACAUCAUCAACUGGAGA
rnacentral:siRNA from 1 species